GACGAACGCUGGCGGCGUGCUUAACACAUGCAAGUCGAACGUGAUUUUUGUGGAAAUUCUUUCGGGAAUGGAAAUGAAAUGAAAGUGGCGAACGGGUGAGUAACACGUGAGCAACCUACCUUACACAGGGGGAUAGCCGUUGGAAACGACGAUUAAUACCGCAUGAGACCACAGAAUCGCAUGAUAUAGGGGUCAAAGAUUUAUCGGUGUAAGAAGGGCUCGCGUCUGAUUAGCUAGUUGGAAGGGUAAAGGCCUACCAAGGCGACGAUCAGUAGCCGGUCUGAGAGGAUGAACGGCCACAUUGGAACUGAGACACGGGCCAAACUCCUACGGGAGGCAGCAGUGGGGAAUAUUGCACAAUGGGGGGAACCCUGAUGCAGCGACGCCGCGUGAGCGAAGAAGGUUUUCGAAUCGUAAAGCUCUGUCCUAUGAGAAGAUAAUGACGGUAUCAUAGGAGGAAGCCCCGGCUAAAUACGU
rnacentral:rRNA from 1 species